AUUGAACGCUGGCGGCAUGCCUUACACAUGCAAGUCGAACGGCAGCACGGGUGCUUGCGCCUGGUGGCGAGUGGCGAACGGGUGAGUAAUACAUCUGAACAUGUCCUGUAGUGGGGGAUAGGCCUGCGAAAGCCGGAUUAAUACCGCAUACGAUCCACGGAUGAAAGCGGGGGACCUUCGGGCCUCGCGCUGUAGGGUUGGCCGAUGGCUGAUUAGCUAGUUGUUGGGGUAAAGGCCUACCAAGGCGGCGAUCAGUAGCUGGUCUGAGAGGACGACCAGCCACACGGGGAGUGAGACACGGCCCAGACUCCUACGGGGGGAAGCAGUGUGGAAUUUUGGACAAUGGGGGAAAGCCUGAUCCAGCAAUGCCGCGUGUGUGAAGAAGGCCUUCGGGUUGUAAAGCACUGUUGUCCGGAAAGAAAUCCUUGACUCUAAUACAGUCGGGGGAUGACGGUACCGGAAGAAUAAGCACCGGCUAACUACGUG
rnacentral:rRNA from 1 species